rnacentral:rRNA from 1 species
AGAGUUUGAUCCUGGCUCAGGACGAACGCUGGCGGCGUGCUUAACACAUGCAAGUCGAACGGAAAGGCCCCUUUGGGGGUGCUCGAGUGGCGAACGGGUGAGUAACACGUGGGUGAUCUGCCCUGCACUUCGGGAUAAGCUUGGGAAACUGGGUCUAAUACCGGAUAGGACCAUGCCAUGCAUGUGGUGUGGUGGAAAGCUUUUGCGGUGUGGGAUGGGCCCGCGGCCUAUCAGCUUGUUGGUGGGGUGAUGGCCUACCAAGGCGACGACGGGUAGCCGGCCUGAGAGGGUGUCCGGCCACACUGGGACUGAGAUACGGCCCAGACUCCUACGGGAGGCAGCAGUGGGGAAUAUUGCACAAUGGGCGCAAGCCUGAUGCAGCGACGCCGCGUGGGGGAUGACGGCCUUCGGGUUGUAAACCUCUUUCACCAUCGGCGAAGCCUCUGAUUUUUGUUGGGGGUGACGGUAGGUGGAGAAGAAGCACCGGCCAACUACGUGCCAGCAGCCGCGGUAAUACGUAGGGUGCGAGCGUUGUCCGGAAUUACUGGGCGUAAAGAGCUCGUAGGUGGUUUGUCGCGUUGUUCGUGAAAUUCCCUGGCUUAACUGGGGGCGUGCGGGCGAUACGGGCAGACUGGAGUACUGCAGGGGAGACUGGAAUUCCUGGUGUAGCGGUGGAAUGCGCAGAUAUCAGGAGGAACACCGGUGGCGAAGGCGGGUCUCUGGGCAGUAACUGACGCUGAGGAGCGAAAGCGUGGGGAGCGAACAGGAUUAGAUACCCCAGUAGUCC